rnacentral:lncRNA from 1 species
ACACUGAAAGUUUCUCUGCUUUGGGCCAGCAGGAAAUUCCAGUUGCUUCAUUCACCGGAGCCAGUUAAGCUGCUGAAAUGAAAUGGAUCACCGGAGAGAUCACUAUAUCAGGACAUAGACUUGACUUUCAGGGUUGGAGGAAGCCGGACAAAGAUGAAUGGGAUUCAGAGCCUGAACUCAAGGUCAACGUCUUCUGAAUCACAAAGAGCUGGUGGGUCAGUCUGGGAGAAGAAAGAAAAUUCUGCGCCAAAUGGGAAAACCCUUAAAGUCUGCAUAGUUUUGCUUGUCGGUAAGAACACAGGGUCUCCUAUGGACAGAAGUGCGGGCAAGGAGC